UUCACCCCCCCCUCUUUUCCGUCUCCAUAAUGUCUCUCUCUGUACCCACCCACUCACGCUUCUUUCAUCCUUCUUUCUCUCAUUCCUAUUCUCUCUCUUUUUCCUCGACUUCUCCAUUUCCUAUCGUUCCAUCUUCUUCUCUUUUGGGCGGGAUAUUUCCCCCCAUUUUUUAAACGAAAAAGAGGAUAGCAGUCUCCCUAUUUCAAGAGGCUCACCUCCCUCAUUUAUCUCUCCCUUCUUCCAAGCACACCCUAAAACUGCAAGCUUCUCUUUCCACAUUUUCUCAAACCCUAACCUCAUUUUCUGCAAACCAAACCUUAAUCUUCCAUCAUCAACCCAUAAGACCUUGCAACCAUGGAUUUACUGCAUCACCAGAAGGGUAGCAACACCGAUCUUGGUGCCGACACACUCAGGGACCUAAGAUCUCUACAAAAAAAAAAAAAAAAGACGAUGCAACCACUGGUACAGCCCCAAAUCGCAUCUCAAGGAAAAACCACAAGAGAAUUGUCUCCGUUCUAGAUCUGUCAUUUAAAGGUAUAACAACAAAAUCUAUUCUAAUUGGAUGAUUUCGCGGUGAAAGGGUAGGAAGAAUAAGUGGAACUCUUGAUGUAUUUAUAACCUUCCAUGUAGCUAUUAAUAUGUGAAUGCUAAGCAGUCUAAUGCAUGACUCACUAAA